UCUUCGGGGUGCCGGAUGCUUCCGGCUGAGAUUGGGCGGCAGACGUCCUGACCCGCAAACCUGAUACGGUUAAUACCGUCGUAGGGAAAGA
rnacentral:ncRNA from 1 species